CCGCACAACAUUGUUCAAUCUUGUUACUGCGUUAUAUUGGCGUAAAGUAGACAUCCAGAAACAAAUGACGCCAAAGAUAACAAAACACAUUGUGUUAAUCUACCCACGUUAUUGUUACUUCUAUGAUUCGUUGAAGACUAAAUGUCUAGAGGCAAAGCUGUAUGAUAUUUCUAUAGAGUCAAACAACAGGUGCUAUUAAAUAAAAUUGUUUUCCCAAUGCAUUUUAGGGAAUGUUCCGGGCAAACUACGUUGCCCGACGAAGAUGAAGAGUGGUUCUGCACGACAUGUUCAUGAUCAG